UCAGACGCUGCACUUAAAAUUUGGUUUCUAUCUAUGAAUAUCAUAUAUGUUGCAGAUAUUACAUUUCAAAUAAAUGAUUUUUAAUUAUUUUUUUUAUAAUUGUAGGUUAACUCAGUAUAAAGUCUUGCUGACAUGAACAUUAUAAUCACAAGAAAGUGAAUAUAUUUCAUCACCUUAAGCAAUCUUCAAAAUACCAGAUUGGAAAAAGAAAGAAGAUUUGUAGCAUUGUAUUGAAUAUGCCUGAUUAAAAGUAUUAAUAGAUGAA